GCCUGGCCGCCCUUUGCUGCUGCUGUCUCCUGGACGCCUGCUUCUGAGGAGGGAGGAAGAAGACGACGAUCAACUUCGUGGAACUGGGACUGAGCUAUCCUCUCUGACGGAGAAAUGCUGCUAGUAGCUUAAAUAUUAUUUCUCGUCGGGCAUUAUCGCCUACUUUGCUUGAUCCAUGUUUAUGAACCUCUCUGCAUUGCAACUAUUCGCUUGGUUGUCGACUGAUGAUUAUAUUAUGCCUGGUGCCUUCCGUGUGUAUAUUGUGUCGGUUUAUCUCUUGUCUGGUGUGGAAUUCAACUCGCGGUUGUGAUGUCCAAUUUGAUCUUUUUCUGGCACGUCGCCACUGAAUACUGAUGCUCACGUUUGCGCUGACGUGCUCGUUUAGCCGCCGGAUUACGCCUGAGAUUUU
rnacentral:lncRNA from 1 species